UACGAAGGGGACUAGCGUUGCUCGGAAUCACUGGGCGUAAAGGGUGCGUAGGCGGGUCUUUUAAGUCAGGGGUGAAAUCCUGGAGCUCAACUCCAGAACUGCCUUUGAUACUGGCGACCUUGAGUUCGGGAGAGGUGAGUGGAACUGCGAGUGUAGAGGUGAAAUUCGUAGAUAUUCGCAAGAACACCAGUGGCGAAGGCGGCUCACUGGCCCGAUACUGACGCUGAGGUGCGAAAGCGUGGGGAGCAAACAGG
rnacentral:rRNA from 1 species